rnacentral:lncRNA from 1 species
GCAAUGUGCUAGACUGCAGUGGCAACUCCCAGUCAAGUCUCUAUUUGUUUACAAGCCUUGUUGCCACAGGAGCCAGGUGCUUUCCAUGUUCAGCCCUGGCUCCUGCCAUGAGCAGCAUGUCCAGCCUGCAGGGGCUGCCAGCAGCCACUGACUAAUAGGACCGUCUUGACCCUGGUGACAGAAGGCAGUGUCUUGCUGAUCUGCAUAACCCUUGGCAAGCAGCAGCUGCAGAGCAGCAGAGGAGGGUCACUGCAUAGCUCUCACCCUUUGUUCAAGACAGUGCAGAUUGCAGAAGGUUUACGAGGAGCUAAGAGGAUUGCAAAAGAGCUGAAGACUUCUCUUUUAUCUAACCAACGUGUGGGCAGCGAAACUCCCUGAUAUGAAACCGGCUGCUUGCAACGGUGGGCACGGAGGAUCAUUUGUCAUUAUUGUGAGGGCUGAAACUCUGAAGAUAGAGCAGCUGUAAUUGAAAAAAGGUACCCAAACACCAACCACCUCACCCUGAGGAUGAGGCCAACCAGGGAAUCCUAGGAUAACACACACCUCAAGAUUGCCUUCACUCUUCAGUUUACAGCAGGACAGAAGAUGAAAACCAAGCAGCCAGUUGCUUUUCAAUUAGCAAGUCUUAUCAUCCGCAUCCCAUGAUUUAGAUUGAGAAGUGACUGUAAGCACAAGAUUUUGAACUAUUUGUUCUGCCAGCAUUGUACAAUUAAGAAUCUUGUUGCAUUAGAGUUUUUGAAAUAUGAAAAUAUGUUUCAUAUCAUAAAAUGAUGCAGCUGUCUUUAUAUUUCUUUUAAGGCGCUGGGGAAAAGGAAGAUGGUGCACAGUCCUGUUGGACACAGCAUCUUGCUGCCAACUAUGAAAUGCUAUGGAAAUGUUGGUAUGAAUUAAGGGUUUGUAAAUAUGAGAAAUUGAGGGGAAUGCUUCCUGCUGCCAAAAGCUCAUGCUAAGCAGAGGUAGAGACCCUUUUACUCCAGAAGAAUAAUUCCCAAACCCAGAGCCAUUCUGAAUUAUUUCACUGUUUUAAUUGGCUUUGGCAUGCA